CGUGUAGGCGGUUCUGCAAGUCAGAUGUGAAAUCUCCGGGCUUAACCCGGAAGCUGCAUCUGAAACUGCAGAACUUGAGUACUGGAGAGGAUAGUGGAAUUCCUAGUGUAGCGGUAAAAAUGCGUAGAUAUUAGGAGGAACACCAGUGGCGAAGGCGGCUAAUCUGGACAGUAACUGACGCUGAGGCGCGAAAGCGUGGGGGAGCAAAACA
rnacentral:rRNA from 1 species